rnacentral:rRNA from 1 species
GACGAACGCUGGCGGCGUGCCUAAUACAUGCAAGUUGAGCGAUGAAGAUUGGUGCUUGCACCAAUUUGAAGAGCAGCGAACGGGUGAGUAACGCGUGGGGAAUCUGCCUUUGAGCGGGGGACAACAUUUGGAAACGAAUGCUAAUACCGCAUAACAACUUUAAACAUAAGUUUUAAGUUUGAAAGAUGCAAUUGCAUCACUCAAAGAUGAUCCCGCGUUGUAUUAGCUAGUUGGUGAGGUAAAGGCUCACCAAGGCGAUGAUACAUAGCCGACCUGAGAGGGUGAUCGGCCACAUUGGGACUGAGACACGGCCCAAACCCCUACGGGAGGCAGCAGUAGGGAAUCUUCGGCAAUGGACGAAAGUCUGACCGAGCAACGCCGCGUGAGUGAAGAAGGUUUUCGGAUCGUAAAACUCUGUUGGUAGAGAAGAACGUCGGUGAGAGUGGAAAGCUCAUCAAGUGACGGUAACUACCCAGAAAGGGACGGCUAACUACGUG